UCUGGAUCUGAAAAUGUGUGAACCCUUCAAACAGGUGCACCCUCUUGCAGUCAGAACAUCAUCCUGGAGGAGGACACCUCUUGCAGUCCACCCUGGAGCAUGAGGGUUGUAUUUUGGUGAUUAGACAACAGUAUGUGAAAGUGAUUGGUCAAUAAAGCGUCUUCUUCCUACUCACGUGGCACUUUAGGAGGCGGCACAACAUCCCUCGCUGUUUAUUCCUUUCCCCUCUUUUGGGUUUUCCUGGGGCUCUUCAAAGAAAGAGGAGCUAGACUUAGAUGACUUGGAUGAGGAAACUGAUCACCGAGUGAUGUGGCUGCUCCGGCAGGGAUGGCCGGCAAGCCCAAAGACCCUAGGAUUCUUUAAGCCUCUACUGCUUGAAAUGCUGAAAUGAGUCUUCAUGCCAGAAGUGCAAGUGCUGGGAUGAAGUCAGUGAUGGCAUUGCCAGAGAUCAUCCAGUGAGAGCCCACACAGGACAGAAAGCCCACACAAUGAACAGCAUUUUCCCACCACUGACACCGCUUCUACCAUCGGAUCUGCAGAUCAUAUCCCUCAAGCACACUCUGGGCCUGCUGGACAGCCCCUUCCGACUCCCUCACCUGAAGGGGGCAUCCUUCCCUCUCACGCAGUUGAUGAGUUGGAGCAGUACUACUAGAUGUUGAAUGUGUUGCCUCCAGGGUUCAAAGAGACAUCCAGGUACCAUUCUUCUCAUUGGUAGGGGACGCAAGAUGUGGCAAUUUGUCUUUUACUUGAAGGAGGUCGGCAGAGAGUCCCUGACCACUAGACUCAUGAAACCUUUACUGAAGCGAUAGGUUCCCAGAUUGUCACAGGAUUUAUCUCCUUCUCUCUGGAGCAUGUAGGUCUUACCAAGUCACCGAGUAUACUAGGCAUCCGUCAUCCCGCGCUUGUCCUGACUGAGCAGCAUGCUGCUGUCGGCGUAUCAGUGUGAUGCUCUGAGAUGCCCAGGUACUCCAGAUGUCUUAAGACUGCAAGAGAAGCAGGAGGGUUAACAUAACCCUGAGGCAAGACCGUAAAGGAGUGUUACCGUGUAACUCACCUGAAUAUGAACUUUUCGAAUACUAUUUUCCAAUCAAAGUGAGAAAGAAGGCAUCUGGCUAAUCCACGGUUGAAUCCCAUGGACCUGCUUUAGGAAGAGGCACCAUGUCUGACGAGGCAUCAGUGACUGGGACCACUACCUGUUUGCACUCACAAUAGUCUCGUCAUCCUCCAGCAUCCCUGUGGUGUCUGGAGGGAGAAGGCUGGCAAAUUAAAUGAAGAUGUGUAGCCCCCACUCUUUGUAUCCUUUAUGUCAUCAAUGCUCUCUGCUUUUCCCCUCCUCAAGAUGCAAUAUUGUUCCUAAGUAACUCUUUUGUCUUAGGGUGGGGUUGAGGAAAUCGUAAGAGGUGUCCGCUUACCCUUCCUAUUUAUAAGAGUUCUUACCCAAAGGCCAAGGACACAAU